rnacentral:tRNA from 1 species
GCGCUGAUGGUUUAGUGGUAGAAUAUCUCGUUGCCAACGAGGUGACCCGAGUUCGAUUCUCGGUCAGCGCA